rnacentral:rRNA from 1 species
GUAUGGGGAUCUGCCCGAUAGAGGGGAAUAACUACUGGAAACGGUGGCUAAUACCGCAUAAUGUCUACGGACCAAAGCAGGGGCUCUUCGGACCUUGCACUAUCGGAUGAACCCAUAUGGGAUUAGCUAGUAGGUGGAGUAAAGGCUCACCUAGGCGACGAUCUCUAGCUGGUCUGAGAGGAUGAUCAGCCACACUGGGACUGAGACACGGCCCAG